GAUGAACGCUGGCGGCGUGCCUAAUACAUGCAAGUCGAGCGAAUGGAUUAAGAGCUUGCUCUUAUGAAGUUAGCGGCGGACGGGUGAGUAACACGUGGGUAACCUGCCCAUAAGACUGGGAUAACUCCGGGAAACCGGGGCUAAUACCGGAUAACAUUUUGAACCGCAUGGUUCGAAAUUGAAAGGCGGCUUCGGCUGUCACUUAUGGAUGGACCCGCGUCGCAUUAGCUAGGUGGUGAGGUAACGGCUCACCAAGGCAACGAUGCGUAGCCGACCCGAGAGGGUGAUCGGCCACACUGGGACCGAGACACGGCCCAGACUCCUACGGGAGGCAGCAGUAGGGGAUCUUCCGCAAUGGGCGAAAGUCGGACGGAGCAACGCCGGGUGAGUGAUGAAGGCUCUCGGGUCGUAAAACUCUGUUGUUAGGGAAGAACAAGUGCUAGUUGAAUAAGCUGGCACCUUGACGGUACCUAACCAGAAAGCCACGGCUAACUACGUGCCAGCCGCCGCGGUAA
rnacentral:rRNA from 1 species